rnacentral:lncRNA from 1 species
UAGAUGCUCUGUCACCCAGGCUGGAGUGUAGUGGCACGAUCUCGGCUCACUGCAAGCUCCGCCUCCCGGGUUCACGCCAUCCUCCUGCCUCAGCCUCCCUAGUAGCUGGGACUACAGGCGCCCACCACCACGCCCGGCUAAUUUUUUGUAUUUUUAGUAGAGACGGGGUUUCACCGUGUUAGCCAGGAUGGUCUUGAUCUCCUGACCUCGUGAUCCGCCCACCUCGGCCUCCCAAAGUGCUGGGAUUACAGGCGUGACAAGGAUCUUUAUGACAUUGUACACAUGGAUCAAAAUAUCACAGGUUAUUUGCUCAGAAUAGAUUCCAAGAAAUCGAAUCAUGAGAUCGAAGGAGAUCAACAAGUUUGUGGCUCUUGAGACACAAUGCCAAAUAUCCUUCUAGAGAGCUGGCAGAUAUCAGAAACCUCUUCUCAGCUUUAGAGAUGCUUUUCACACAGACAGAAGAUUUCCUCUCCACACCAGAGGCAGCAGGAUAAGAUGUACCAUCAGACCGCACUGGCUUACCGUGGUGACAAGAAAGAAGAGGCCCUGACUGGGUGAGCUUCUUUAUUUAGCAAUUAACCAAAGACAAAUAAACCACUUCUAACCUUUUUCUUGCUUGAAUAUGUAGAAAUUAAAUGCAUUCAUUAUCCUGAGAGGAUUAUGAGCUUCUUUUUCCUGCAGUGACUCAAAUAUUUAUUUGACUGUAUGCAUAUGCUUUGCAGGAAUAAAAAUCAGCAUCUUCCAACUAAACCAUUUCCAUUGCAUCUAUAAUAACAUCUCUAAAAAGUAAUUCCUGUCAUUUCCAUUCCAUUUAUUUAUUACUCAACCAAAUAUACCCCCCUUGAAGGGUAGUAUUCUCUUGGACUAGGGCAUGGGAUUCACAGUUCCUCAAAGUGGUAAAUGUGAUAAAUGUUUUAACAUAUAUGGGAAUCCCACAAAGAACUCUCACUUUGGUAUUAAAUCAUGGAGGAACAUCAGGGUAUCCAUCUGCACACCCUAUGAAAUAAGAUGCAUUGGGUAAGUCAGCCAGGUGCUUUGUUUAUGUGGCAUCUGGACGCUUGGAAACUUCUGGAUGAGUAAACACUUUCUUUUGGGUCGAAAAGGUUUGGCUUUAACAUGUCGUCUAGUGGAAACCAAUCUAGAAUCACCAUGUUCGACUUUUCUAGUCUUUUAUGGGUCCAGUAAACUCAAGUGAAGGAAUCUUCAGAAGUGGGUUAACUUGUCCAUUCUCUUGGUAGUUGGAAUUCUUUCCUAAAUGUCACAUAAGAUAUUUGGAUACAAAUGUGUAGAGGAGAAAUGAAGGGACAAAAGAAUUAACAUUUGUUGAUCUCCUGCCAUAUGUAAGACACUGUGAUAGAUCACAUGUAUAAUAAUUUCAAUUUGUCAUUCCAACCUGGUGAGGGAGGUAUUAAUGGCUUCAUUUAACAGAUGAGGAAACUGAGGUUAAGAGAUUUCCUCUCUGACCACAAUUAUUAAAGUAUAAGUAAACUUUCCCAAUCUCUGAUGAAAGAACCUAGGAUUAUAGUUGAGUGAGUCACCAAUGCCCCAAAUUAUGACAUAGCCCAUGAAGAAAGAUACACUAAUACUCUUCAAGGACAGCAGGGUUGGGGUGAGGCAUUUGUCACUCUGCCUGAGGAUGCAACAUUCUCACUUGCCCUGGCCCCUCAGCUCAGGGCGAGCCACAGCACAGCAGAAGAGCAGAACCGCCCCUCCUGGAAGUUCUAGGUUCUGAAUGUGUCCAAUAGGCCCAGAGGUGAGGGUCUACAGGCAGAUCAGGGAGUCUGAGAGACAGAAGCCCCUUGCUUCAGCAGCAUUGGAUUUAAGGACAGAGCCUUAAAUCAGGAAGAAGUUCUCUCUCCAACCAUAUACAGGGGAAACUAAAGACUUUGCCUGGCAACCUAGAGACUUUAUCAUCGCAGGAGAUGGAUAACCAAGAUGAAACCAUGAGACAACAUUCUGGGCCAAGCAGUGAGCAAUGAGGAGACCCAGACCCCAGGUUCCUGGCUGUGUCUUUGGCUAAAAAGAAGAGGCAUUAAGACAGAUUCCCUGAGGAUACUUCAAGAACCCUGAAAUUGCCUUGCUCACAUACCACCACACUAGAGAUGUUUCAGAAAAGCAGCUUCCCUUUUGGUGCCUCCAAUCCAGAAUGACUCCAGGACCCACCGAGAGGUGAGGCAGAGAGGACAAGGCAAGGACAAAACUUCUUUGGACUAUUUUCUGCACAUCCCCAGCAGAGAUUGAUGAAUGCCUCUGAGUCAGCAAAAUCUCCAGUGGUGAAACAGAAAGCGUACACUCCACACAUUCAAGCAGCCAGGCCAGCCCACACGGAGAAGAGGAUGUUCACAUCCAGCCUGUUCAGUGGACCCCAUGGGGCAUUUCAAAGGCUAUUACAUUUCCAGGACCUUCUAUCACACCCCCUUUCUUCCAUCCCUGCUAAUAUUUGUGACUUUCCAGCUUUCUUCUCUGAAAUUAAAAUCAAACCUUUGCAAAGUGAAAAUCAGUUCAUCUGAGCUAGUGCUGGUUAAGAUUUACAAAAUAAAGAGGAAUUUUACACCCAC